GAGGCAGAUGAGGAGCGAAGGAAAAGGCCUCCUACUGUGUACAGCUGGAACCAAUGGGACCAUGGAGUCCUGUCUUGUCCACAUCAACCAGCCAGAAGAAAAAGGCACCUGAGACUUACACUAAGGAGGCAGGGGAGACCACACACGUGGGCUUUGUGUUGGAAGAGGAUGGCUGCCAGAGGGGCCUUUCUGCUGUGAGCAGAGCUACAGGACCAAGGACAAUAGCCAGCAACACAGAACAGAGUACAACACAUGCAUGAGGCUACAGCUACCUUCAAGUAAUGAAAUACAUACAAACUUCAGUCAUAAUGCCUACCACAACGUCAUUUAAGAACUGAAUUAUUUCUUUUACAAAGAAGCAAAUGGGUACACUCAGUCACCUAGAGCAAUAGUCAUGUUCUGAAAACCCCCUAUUAUUGGAAAUCCAUUUUGAAUUUUGUUUUCUAUUUCCUGGGCUUUUGAAUUCAAACUAGAAUUGUUCAGACACCAAAUUAAAGGUUAAUAAACAUUCUGUAAACCCACAGUGCCAACACAAGUGUUCACACCAAUAAAAGCAGUCAGACUGUAACAACCAA